rnacentral:rRNA from 1 species
UACAGAGGGGGCAAGCGUUGUUCGGAAUUACUGGGCGUAAAGGGCGCGUAGGCGGCCCGCUAAGUCGAACGUGAAAUCCCCGAGCUCAACUCGGGAACUGCGUCCGAUACUGGUGGGCUUGAAUCCGGAAGAGGCGAGUGGAAUUCCUGGUGUAGCGGUGGAAUGCGCAGAUAUCAGGAGGAACACCAAUAGCGAAGGCAGCUCGCUGGGACGGUAUUGACGCUAAGGCGCGAAAGCGUGGGGAGCAAACAGG